UUAGAAGCAGUUUGUUCUCAGCUUUUCGCAAUCAUUACACAAAAACCUAGCUUCUAAGCAGUAGGUCGCAGGUUCGAGUCCUGCAGGGGUCGCCA
rnacentral:tRNA from 1 species